rnacentral:hammerhead_ribozyme from 1 species
AUCUAGCUGAAAAGUCCCAAAUAGGACGUGACUCGCGUCCUAGAU